rnacentral:lncRNA from 1 species
AGGGUUUGGGUGUUUAGAUAGUCAUAAGGCCUAGCACGGGUCUGACUCCAGGGUCACUGGAUCUUUGAUACUGUCUCCAGGUGAGGCAGGAUGUGGCUGACUGGGCUGAUCGAAGCACCUCCUGCUUUAUGGAAUUUUAUUUCCAUGUUGGAAGACUUGGUCCUGUUGAGAAGGGCUUCCUGGGAUGCGCACUGUCUAGUUGGAGACUUGUGUAAGGAGGCUGGUGGGUCUGCACCUCCUGAGCUUUCUGACUAUGACCUGGGCAAGUUUGAAGGCUGUGCAGGUCCUCUGUGGACCAUGAUUAGGUGGGAACACUUUGGGUACAGUUUUGUGCCAAGGAAGGAUUUGAAGAAGCCAAAGAGGUGUUGGUUAGCUGGUUAAGGUGUUUGGGCAUUAUCUUGCGACCUGUAAGAGGACACUGGAGGGGCUGUGGCUGUGGCUCAGUGGUA